rnacentral:rRNA from 1 species
GACGAACGCUGGCGGCGCGCCUAACACAUGCAAGUCGAACGGAGCUGCGAGAAGCUUGCUUUUCUUAGCUUAGUGGCGAACGGGUGAGUAACGCGUGAGUAACCUGCCCUGGAGUGGGGGACAACAGUUGGAAACGACUGCUAAUACCGCAUAAGCCCACGAUCCGGCAUCGGAUUGAGGGAAAAGGAUUUAUUCGCUUCAGGAUGGACUCGCGUCCAAUUAGCUAGUUGGUGAGGUAACGGCCCACCAAGGCGACGAUUGGUAGCCGGACUGAGAGGUUGAACGGCCACAUUGGGACUGAGACACGGCCCCGACUCCUACGGGAGGCAGCAGUGGGGGAUAUUGCACAAUGGGGGAAACCCUGAUGCAGCGACGCCGCGUGGAGGAAGAAGGUUUUCGGAUUGUAAACUCCUGUCGUUAGGGACGAUAAUGACGGUACCUAACAAGAAAGCACCGGCUAACUACGUG